rnacentral:tRNA from 1 species
UUAGUAUUAGUUUACAUAAAACCUUAAAUUGCAAGUUUAAAAAAGGGAAGUCCUUACUAUU